rnacentral:sRNA from 1 species
UCUGUAAAAUUAAAAAAUACUGAUUCUUUGUCGGCGGGCACUGGGUCAUUUUUUAUCGCACUGUCUCCGGGCAGACCGCCA